UACGUAGGUCCCGAGCGUUAUCCGGAUUUAUUGGGCGUAAAGCGAGCGCAGGCGGUUAGAUAAGUCUGAAGUUAAAGGCUGUGGCUUAACCAUAGUACGCUUUGGAAACUGUUUAACUUGAGUGCAAGAGGGGAGAGUGGAAUUCCAUGUGUAGCGGUGAAAUGCGCAGAGAUAUGGAGGAACACCAGUGGCGAAGGCGACUUUCUGGUCUGUAACUGACGCUGAUGUGCGAAAGCGUGGGGAUCAA
rnacentral:rRNA from 1 species